AUGGAGGACGACGACGACCUUGAUGCGUACGCGAGUAAGGUGAACGACAUGGCGGUGAGGUACGCGCAGCUCAGGUCCACACUGGACGAGGCCGCCAUGGUGAAGAAGUUGCUCGACACCGUGCCGGGUCGGCUAUACGUCAUGGUCGCCGGCAUCGAGCAGUCCUGCAAAGUGGAGAUGGCGUUCGAGGAAGCCGUCGGGCGUCUGAAGGCCUUCGAGGAGCGGACGAGGCGGCGCUUGCAGGUCGGCGGCAAGCGCGCGGGCGGACAGCUCAUGAUGACGGCUGCCCAGUGGGCGGCGCGGGUCGACAGCAGGGUGGGCGCGGCUUCGGCGACCACGACGACGGAGCAGCAACCACGGCUUCAGGCGGCGGAGGGAAGCGGCGAGCGCAGGCAAUUCCGGCGCGAGUGCCUGAAGCCGUGGAAGGCACAGGCAGCGGAGCAGGAUCUUUUGGCUGAUGCCAACGUCGAGUACGACGGGCUCCUCUGGGUCGUGGCUUAG
rnacentral:rRNA from 1 species